rnacentral:rRNA from 1 species
UACGGAGGGGGCUAGCGUUGUUCGGAAUCACUGGGCGUAAAGCGCACGUAGGCGGCUUUUUAAGUCAGGGGUGAAAUCCUGGAGCUCAACUCCAGAACUGCCUUUGAUACUGAGAAGCUUGAGUCCGGGAGAGGUGAGUGGAACUGCGAGUGUAGAGGUGAAAUUCGUAGAUAUUCGCAAGAACACCAGUGGCGAAGGCGGCUCACUGGCCCGGUACUGACGCUGAGGUGCGAAAGCGUGGGGAGCAAACAGG